AGUUCUGAGGUAUAAUUGUGUGUGAGAUUGCAAGUCUCAAGAAGCAAGUUAAAUUCUUGCCAGGGCUU
rnacentral:tRNA from 1 species